AUUGAACGCUGGCGGCAGGCCUAACACAUGCAAGUCGAGCGGAUGAAGGGAGCUUGCGCCUGGAUUCAGCGGCGGACGGGUGAGUAAUGCCUAGGAAUAUGCCUGGCAGUGGGGGAUGACGUCCUGAAACGGGCGCUGAUAACGCAUACGUCCUGCGGGAGAAAGUGGGGGAUCUUCGGACCUCACGCUAUCAGAUGAGCCUAGGUCGGAUUAGCUAGUUGGUGGGGUAAAGGCCUACCAAGGCGACGAUCCGUAACUGGUCUGAGAGGAUGAUCAGUCACACUGGGAGGGAGACACGGUCCAGACUCCCACGGGAAGGAGCAGUGGUGAAUAUUGGACAAUGGGCGGAAACCUGAUCCCACCAUGCCGCGGGUGGAAAGAAGGUCUUCGGAUUGUAAAGCACUGUAAGUUGGGAGGAAGCGGAGUAAGUUAAUACCGUGCUGUUUUGAAGUGACAAGCAUAAUAAGCACCGGCUAACUUCGGG
rnacentral:rRNA from 1 species